rnacentral:rRNA from 1 species
AACGAACGCUGGCGGCGUGCCUAAUACAUGCAAGUCGAACGGUCUUUUCUAUGGAAGCUUGCUUCCACUGGGAAGAUAGUGGCGAACGGGUGAGUAACACGUGGGUAACCUGCCCAUAAGAGGGGGAUAACAUCCGGAAACGGGUGCUAAUACCGCAUAGUUUUCUUGAUCGCAUGAUCGAGAAAGGAAAGACGGCCUUUGUGCUGUCGCUUAUGGAUGGACCCGCGGCGUAUUAGUUAGUUGGUGAGGUAACGGCUCACCAAGACGAUGAUACGUAGCAGACCUGAGAGGGUGAUCGGCCACAUUGGGACUGAGACACGGCCCAAACUCCUACGGGAGGCAGCAGUAGGGAAUCUUCCGCAAUGGACGAAAGUCUGACGGAGCAACGCCGCGUGAGUGAAGAAGGUUUUCGGAUCGUAAAACUCUGUUGUCAGAGAAGAACAAGUCGGAGAGUAACUGCUCCGGCCUUGACGGUAUCUGACCAGAAAGCCACGGCUAACUACGUGCCAGCCGCCGCCGUAAAAC